GAGAGGAAACACGCACGGAAGGUAUACCAAAGAGCAUCAGGAGGCAAAGGUAUCUGGCUCGUAAAACGUGAACGAACGUACAGAGAGCGUUUGUUCGAUGAAGAGAACGAGGUACCGAGCGGCAUCUAAAUGAAGGAGACCAAGAAAGUCGGGGAGGUAUGGCAAUGAUGCAUUCAUCGAGGAUACUGAAGUCACGAACGCGCCCCAACGGACGUCGUCGCGAGCAUGGAGGUCGACAUCCACGAGAGCAUGCUAUCGGAACAACAUCGAACAGUUCAAUGUCAGUUAACCUCGAUCCCGUGACUUCCGGAUGCCCAUCUAUUCUAACUGAGACUCAUCCCAGUUGAAUAUCGAUCAUAGCUCUCUACUGAAAAAUGUCUACCUAUCGAAAUGGCUUGCUCUGAACUUGAUUUCCAAUUGAUCACGGACGACUGGAUAAGCUGCAAGACUUCAGGAAGGUGCCAAGGUAAGAUUUUUUGGAGCAUAAAUGGUUUGGAGAACAACUUUGGAUGGCUGUGCAUAAAGAAGGAGGUCCAAAGAAUGCAAGAACGAAGGAGAAAAAAAUGUUAAAAAUCAUGAGAAGGCAAUUUUAUGAAAAAUCUAUUUACAAAACAUCACAGUUUUUGACGCCCGGUGAUUUGUAUCUAGAUUCGUUUUUAACGAUCAUUCUGAUGGAUGGAUCGACGUCCCCAGGAGCAAACUCAGAAGUUUAAAAGCCUCGAGACAAGUAGAGAGAGGGUCCUUGAAAAAUGACGCUCUUGGAAAUAAUAAGUCGGGGGACGAAUAUAUCUCCUUCGGUUAAUGUUUUCGCGAUUCACAAUGCUCUCAAACCAGGAGCUAAAAGCAGACAAUUAAUAACUUUCACAAGAGGAUCGUUUAUCGCGACAGUUUAGGCUUGUUGGGUUUGCGGGUAAAAGGGGAUACACCGAAGGAGAGAAAUUGAUGCACAGAGUGAGAGAAGAGGAAGUUGGAGAAAUAGAAAAAAAUACGAUCAAGAAUAAGGGAGAGGAAUGACCGAGUGUAGAUUUUUUAAGAGACAUUGUUCAACUCCUCAAGCCGUGACCGAUUCGAUUUUUAACAGGACUUUGAAACCUACAUUUGAAUUCCGACACUUGAAUUUUUCUUUAACCCUUUUUUCAAUUUAACUCGUGGUUAUGUUCACUCUCUUUCUCUGGGAACACAUAACGUCCUCGUAUUCCAAUUCGUCUUGCCUUUAAAUUCGAUUGCCAGCUGUUUUUAGCAUUAAAAAAAUCGUAGAACAGUUGGACUCGAGUAUUUCCUCUCUGGAGCAUUCCAAUUAUUAUUACAACAAAUCUUGAAAUAAUGUUUAUCCUCUAUAUCCAAUUCAAAUAAUUCUUA